GACGAACGCUGGCGGCGUGGAUUAGGCAUGCAAGUCGAACGCGAAAGAGGGGGAAACCCCUUUAGUAGAGUGGCGAACGGGUGAGUAACGCGUGAAGAACCUGCCUUCAACAGGGGGAUAACACUCCCAACGGGGUGCUAAUACCGCAUGAGACCACGGAGCUGCAUGGCUCUGAGGUCAAAGGUGGCCUCUAUUUAUAAGCUACCGGUUGAAGAUGGCUUCGCGUCCCAUUAGCAGUUGGCGGUGUAAAAGACCACCAAGGCGACGAUGGGUAGCUGGUCUGAGAGGAUGGUCAGCCACACUGGGACUAAGAUACGGCCCAGACUCCUACGGGAGGCAGCAGUCGAGAGGCUUCGGCAAGUGGGGAAACCCUGACCGAGCGACGCCGCGUGGAGA
rnacentral:rRNA from 1 species